AUGGCUGAAGGAACUGGUACUGGAAAGAGGACUUAUGUCACAUGGGAUGAUGAGAUGGACGCUGCCUUGCUUGAGGUACUUGUUCAUCAUCACAACAUGGGUGACCAUUCACAAAAUGGAUGGAAAGCACAUGUGUACAGUGCAGCUAUCAAGAAUGUGAAGGAGAAGUGCAAUAAGGAUAUCGCGAAGAACAACAUAUUAGGAAGGCUUAGGACUUUCGACAAUCAAUUUGAAAUCAUUAACAAGAUCCUUUCUCAAAGCGGUUUUGGUUGGGAUUGGGUCAAUAAUAAGCUAUCCAUUGAUAGCGACGAUGUGUGGACUAAAUAUUUGGAGCACUGGGAAGCCAUCUCUACCAUAUAUUUAAAAGAUCAUGCGGACGGUGAAGGUGCCAAGACAUGUGCUGAGACUGCUGCUGAGACUGCUGCAGAUCUAGAAGAAACAAUUGAAGUCUCUCCAGAAACGGUACCAAAGAGACCACGAACAGGUGAUGCCAUUAUAUGCAUGAUUGGAGAAAUGAGGACUACUUUCAAGGAUGCUUUGAAGACAACUGAUCCACUUCCAUUGCCAAAGGUUACUACUCCUUCUGAAAUACUUGCUGCACUUGAGUUGAUACCAGAGUUGGCAGAAGUAGACAUGUUGCACUCUUACAGAAAGUUGAUUCUUAAUGAGCGCUUGUUUGAAGCUCUAAUGGAGCUUCCCAUGCACAUGAGGAAGGCUUGGCUGCUAUUAUUGCCUUGA
rnacentral:rRNA from 1 species